CGUUAUUCACACAUGGUAGAACAGAAAAAUAGAUCGUUGCUUGAAAUGGCACGCCGCGUGCUGAUUGUCGCAAAUCUCGAGAAGAAACAUUGGAGCGAAGCCAUAAAUACAGUAACUUGCUUAUAGAAUAAACUACGGAAGAUAAGAGAUGACGUGCCUAAAAGAGGACACGCUUGACCAUGGUAGAUAAAAUGGAUAUGAAUGUGAAGCAUUUCGAUGCGAAUACAGCGAUUUAGCAUAUACAUAUACAGCGUAUACAUAUUCAGCGAAUGCUGCAAUAGAGAAUUGAAGGAGAUAAUAUGUAUACAUAACGCAACCCGAAGGCUACGCUGUCUCAGGUAAAUGUGGUUACGUAUGCAAAUUGAAAAAGGGCAUCUGCGGAUUAAACAAGCGGCAACGUUAUGAAACGACAGAUGUAGGAUCCUGGUUUUAAGAAAUGCGUUUAUCUUACAUUUUACUAAGGAUAUAUUUACGUUACAUAUAUUUACGGUGUUGCGAUUAAUUUUAAGCUCAAACAUAUUUCCUAUUUCGUUUUUUCGAUAUUUCCAAGAAAGUGAAAAGCAAAGUUGUUUACGUAAUGCGUCAAAUGUACGCUAUAGGAUUACACGGCGAGUUAUUGACUUUCGUAACUGAAGUAGAAAAAAAAGGCAAGUUUUCAACAAGACAACGCUUUUAUUCGUAUAGCCGCCGCUGCGGAAAAGUGGUUCGAUUUUGGAAUAGAAUUAUUAUCGUGGCCAGCGUCGAGUGCUGAUCUGAAACCGAUCGAGAACCUGUGGGGAAUUGUAGCAAGAAAAGUUGACGAUCAGGAGAAGCCAACUAUAGAAAAUAUCAAAUUGAACUGAAAAAAUGAGUAAAAUCCAAAGGUCAGACGGAUAUCCCAAACGAAUAAAUUAGUGAACAGUGUUCCCAACAGGUUGAUGGAAGUAAUCGAAAGUAAAGAAAAACCCGCUAAAUAUUAAAGGAAACGGUAACAAAGUUAACAUUGAGUUCCUACUUUUCCACAACCAGAACUUAUUUACUUACUAAAUCUUGUGUACUCAGGGAGAAAAAGCAAAUUCGCAGUUUGUUUACGUGAGUUUCAAAUGAUUCAAAGCGCAGCCGAAGCUGCACGAAACAUUAAUUUUGCAUUUGGUGAAAGAACGAUAACCGGAAGAACGCUAUAAUUUUGGUUUCAAAGAUUCCGAAAUGGCGAUGAAGGACUCGAAGAGAAAGGGAAUCGUAUCAUCCCGAAAACUCUAGAUUUCUAUGAUCAUGGAAUGCAAAAAAGCUUGUAUCUCGCUAGGAAAAGCGUAUUCAAUUUAACGGAUGUUAUUUUGAACAAAUAAAUUUAUUUCGAAUAAAAAAGCACAAAUUAGGGUAUCAUGUUUGAAGACCGCGAUUUAUUUCCGAACUACCUAAUUAGCAACGCGUGACGUUGAGUGAUAGAACAGUACUCUUGUGCCUUUGUGCCGUCCCGCGAGACUUCUUUUCAUUUCUGUGUUAUACGUCACAGUUAAAGCUAUUUUUGUCUUCGCUUCGUCAAAUUAACAUUAAAGGAAACGUUUUUAUAAAUCCUAUUUGAAGUUAUAGUGGAUGCGCAUCCAGAUGUGUCAUUGUAAUUAUAAUCCUAUUUCGCCGCACUACGGAUCUAAUAGGCCUAAAUAACUCACCAGGGACAUAUCGCGGAUACAUUGGAAAGGAAUGACCUGGCGUUGGCUCCAGUCACAAUUCCACACAUAGUCAGUGUUCCAUCGAUAGAAACAAAAACAUCCUGAGGAUUUUCGUGGCUAAUUUUAUGACGCACACUUCCGCAGACAAGAGGCUAAUUUCUAGGUCGGGACAAUGAUUUUAAUUUUCCAUGUCCAUGAUGUUCUUAACAGCCAAGCCUGUCAUAAAACGGCACCCUCUUAUCUAAUUGAUCGCAAGCUUCACGUUCGUCCAAGUAUCGCUCACCCUUUUUCCGACAAGUAUCUCCUGUGCUUCGGGCGCACGGAAGUGCAUUAGCGACACCCAACGAACGAGUAUGCUGAUUGGCUAGUUUCUUAUGUUUGGUGAAAAUCAAGCAACAUGUAUAUUUUCGCAUCCUUUUUGCGCGUUGCUAGGUACUCUAGGUCAAAUCUGGCAAGAUCAGUCUCGUGUCUUUCACCUGUAAACAUCUCCAAGCAUUCGCAGAGUUGAAACGAUCAGUUGAAACGAUCGGUUGUCAGUUUCAGUCGAGUUUUAUAUCUCGAAUCGACUUUAACUCUCAGUGGUCAGAAUAAGAUAUCGUGUGACCAUUCAUAACGACCAUUCGUAAAUCUUGUCUCAGCAAUUGGAGACAGUUCGAAAUUUUCUUAUCGUUCGGGGGUAUCGUACCCUCAGUGUCGUUGACAGUUUACCAUUCGCCACUCCUCCUCGUGAGUAUAUCGCCCAAGAUUAAUUCGACGGGUGCAGUGCAAUGCAGUGUCAUCGUUAUCGGAUACACAUAAAAAUACACACACAAUCAGUUUUCAGUUAAGUCAGUCACGCUUCAGUUACUUAUAAUCCAACGGUCAGUCAGUCAAUCAGUGAGAUACAAUUCAGUAGUCAGGAUUAGACUUCGAAAUCAGGAUCGAUCAGUCUACCGCAGCAGCCAGAGCAUGCAGAACAUCCACAACUUAAGUGAGACCAGUUGUCAAACUUUCAUGGACAGCACCUGUUUCAUCGAUCAUAUUUCACGACAUUCAGGUUGAUGGUCGCAUUGAAUACACCAUAAAUCAGUAUUCAGUGUAUUUCUUUUCCCCGCCAAGGGGUGGUCCUUCGAAAAGUUAGGCGAUACGAAGUGCAAUAUCCUAAUACAUUGGGUGAAUCAGCAUCCGUAUAUUAUCCAUAUACGGUGUUCUGUAUUUGCAUAUGAUAUAUUCGCGAGUAUACUGGUUAAGCAAUUGUCUUCAGAGCUAAUAGGAUAGUCGGCUGUAUUUCGUUUCAAUAUUAUUUUACCUUUCGGGUUCUUCAUAUUCACAAUGUCGGUUUCUGUUCCAGGAAUGGAUAUUACGUACAAGGAGAUCAACGAAAACUAAUGAUAAGCGCUAUUGCGUAUUUAUAAUUGAACGAAACAUUCAUCCACGCGUUAGGAAUGAUAUUUCUAUAAUCAAAUUCAAUUCUCGUCUUUCCAAGUGCCUAUGUUCGUUUCAAUCAAGUACCAUUGACGCUAGCCGUUUGGACACGAAGAGGACAAUAGCAAGGCCUAAUUUCGCGAACAUGGAAAACGUCGAAGCCGAGGACUUUCAGGCCUCCCACGUAACGAGAUAAAUUGCCCUUGUACCCGUAGCGGACAUAGACGAUAACGCCUUAAAAAGGAACUGCUCCUCAGCCUCGCAAGUUCGCUUGAGGAGCCAAUCAACUACGAACUUCCAAAGCAAACACAUAGUCUGCCGCGAUAGUUCAAUGGAGUCACAUGAAUUACAGAAAUGAAAAGGGAUUCGAUCAAAUUUCUCUAUUGUGUCGAGCGAUGUGCGACGUGUAUCGCGUAUGUAUACAAGGUUUCCGCGAAUUCCUCUAAUGUUUCGUUCACGCGAGCUGUUAGUUUCGCUUAAUCGCAACCAUGAGAUACAGGAACAAGGAAUACCUCGAGAUAAUCAAG